UACGUAGGGGGCAAGCGUUGUCCGGAAUUAUUGGGCGUAAAGCGCGCGCAGGCGGCGCUUUAAGUUGGGGGUUAAAGGCAAUGGCUCAACCAUUGUACGCCUCCAAAACUGGAGCGCUUGAGUGCAGCAGAGGAAAGUGGAAUUCCCGGUGUAGCGGUGGAAUGCGUAGAGAUCGGGAGGAACACCAGUGGCGAAGGCGACUUUCUGGGCUGUAACUGACGCUGAGGCGCGAAAGCGUGGGGAGCAAACAGGAUUAGAUACCCUGGUAGUCCACGCCGUAAACGAUGAGUGCUAGGUGUUGGGGGCUUUCCCGCCCUCAGUGCCGCAGCUAACGCAUUAAGCACUCCGCCUGGGGAGUACGGCCGCAAGGCUGAA
rnacentral:rRNA from 1 species